rnacentral:tRNA from 1 species
GGUGGUUCAGUGGUAGAGCACUUGCCUUGCAUCCAUGAGGCCCUGGGUUCGAUUCCCCAGCACCA